rnacentral:rRNA from 1 species
GAUCCUGGCUCAGGACGAACGCUGGCGGCGUGCUUAACACAUGCAAGUCGAACGCUGAAGCCUAGCUUGCUGGGUGGAUGAGUGGCGAACGGGUGAGUAACACGUGAGUAACCUGCCCUCUUCUUUGGGAUAACGCCCGGAAACGGGUGCUAAUACUGGAUAUUCACUGGCCUUCGCAUGGGGGUUGGGUGGGAAAGGGUUUUUUUCUUGGUGGAGGAUGGGCUCGCGGCCUAUCAGCUUGUUGGUGGGGUGAUGG